AGGGAACAAGACACUUCAACCUAAUACAAGUCAGGUUCAAAUCAUGGGCAUACAUGUACUGAUCCAAACUCAAACCAUGGGCCCAUCUUUAAACGGGGCAAGGCCUCAAAUUAAGAUUGUUUGGGAAAUUAUGCCAAAGUGCUUCAUUGUUGUAUGAAUCAUCAAGUAUCCAGUGCUAGAUGCUAAUAUCUUAGUUAUGUCAGAUUGCUGAAGCUGCAUGUUGAAUUCUAAUCUUGAAGACUUUAGAACCUGAGCCCUCCUUCCACCAACAAAUCCAUCUCACCAUUUGGCAUUCUUGCCAGACAUUGCAUCAAGCCUUGUGUCACCCCAUUUGCACACGAGCCAUGUCCACUAGUGCAGGGUGACAGUUGCAUUGCCUUAGCAUUAGUAACUAAAUCCAAAGCAAAAGCUAAAGCUGAUGAAGAAGAUGAAGAUGAUGAGGAAGAAUCUGACAAGUCGAAGUCUGAAGAAAUUGAUGAAGAUGAUGAGGAUGUUUCCAAUAGCUCAUGGCUGUAUCCUGGCCAUUCGUUGAUCCUUUACUUAACCUUUCGCUUCAUGCUUCAACAACUCAGGCGUAGUUUUCUGUUUUUGGCCCUAUCUCUACAACAUCUCUGCUAUUGGUUCUCAAACAUAAUUAGUUUGGUUUCGUUUUCUAUAAUUGGCAUCGUUUGGAA